CACGUCAUUUCCUUAUUUGGUUUGCUGGGGAAUGGCCAGCAAGUAGCUCCCCCUGCUGGUAGAUUUGAAGAAGUACAGAAUCAACAGCGUCCUGGGUUGUUGGCCUGGAAACGAACAUGGUGAAAUAAGAUCAACAGAAAAUCAGUUAAAAACUUUGGGAAAUAAAAGCCUUUUGCCCUGCAGCAGGAAGGUCCUGGGUUCGAAUCCCGCCUUGAUUUGGUGUUUUAUUUUGAAAAGCGGAAGUAGAACCUAUCCGUCCAACACAACUGGUCACCGGACCGUUGGCGGCCCGCGGGGCCCCCUAGUGGUGGGAAAGAUACUGCAUAAACUGAACAAUCUGUGAGACGCUGUCUGAACAGGAAGCGUCUCUUCGCUCUUCCUCCAAACUCCCUCGGGAUCACCUUCACUCCUCUGUUGCUAGGCAACCGACAGGAAGAGCAUCACAGGAAGACACUUCAGGCUGCAGACAGACCUGGAAAAGCAACAUGUCGGCCCGCUGCGCGCUGAAGGAGCUUUAUGAGCUUAAAGGCUGAAAAACAAUAAAACAUCAAACAGGAUGAGGAGGACAAUGAUCCUGUCCCUCAGUGGGGACAGAUGGAGCCAAAC